rnacentral:rRNA from 1 species
GUCCAUGCCGUAAACGAUGAGGACUCGCUGUUGGCCUGUCAAGGGUCAGCGGCUUAGGGAAACCGUUAAGUCCUCCACCUGGGGAGUACGCCGGCAACGGUGAAACUCAAAGGAAUUGACGGGGUCCGCACAAGCGGUGGAGCAUGUGGUUUAAUUCGAUGAUACGCGAGGAACCUUACCUGGGCUAAAUCACACUAGACGUAUUCAGAAAUGGGUAUUCCAGCAAUGGCUGGUGUGAAGGUGCUGCAUGGCUGUCGU